rnacentral:rRNA from 1 species
GUCUUUUUGAUAAUAAUUUAAAGUCUAACCUGCUCAAUGAUUAUUUAAAUUGCCGCAGUAUCCUGACUGUGCAAAGGUAGCAUAAUAAUUAGUUUUUUUAUUGAAAGCUGGAAUGAAUGGUUGGACAAGAAAAUUACUGUCUCUUUAUUAUUUUUUUUUGAAUUUAAUUUUUAAGUUAAAAAGCUUAAAUUUUUUUAAAAGACGAGAAGACCCUAUAGAGUUUUAUUAUUUUUAUAAUUUUUAUUUUUAGGAAUUUAAAGUUUUAAUUAUUAAAUAAAUUUGGUUGGGGUGACUGAAAGAUUUAAUAAACUCUUUUAAUUUAAAAUCAUUGAUUUGUGAAUUAUUAAUCUAUAUUUUUAAAUAUAAAAUAAAUUACCUUAGGGAUAACAGCGUUAUUUCUUUUUAGAGUUCUUAUUGAAAAAGAAGUUUGCGACCUCGAUGUUGGAUUAAAAUUUAUUUUAGGUGUAGAAGCUUAAUAAUUAAGUCUGUUCGACUUUUGAAAUUUU